ACUGGAAACCGGAGCUAAUACCGGAUAAUAUUUUGAACCGCAUUGUUCAAAAGUGAAAGACGGUCUUGCUGUCACUUAUAGAUGGAUCCGCGCUGCAUUAGCUAGUUGGUAAGGUAACGGCUUACCAAGGCAACGAUGCAUAGCCGACCUGAGAGGGUGAUCGGCCACACUGGAACUGAGACACGGUCCAG
rnacentral:rRNA from 1 species